rnacentral:misc_RNA from 1 species
CCGACCUGGCCGGCGACCGAGUCGAAUCCCGGCUGCACGGCGAAGUCCUGGCUCAGCUUCUCCAGCGGGCGGUGGAUCCUCCCCGCGAUAACCCUGCACACGAGCAGCGCGUGCUUCGCGCCGACGCCGGAGGUUUCCUGCAGGCACUCCAGCGCGUGCCUGCUCGUGGAGGUGGUGAACACGCCGCCGCCGCUGUUCCUGGACUUCCUGGUCGCCGAGAAGCCGUGCCGGAUGAUGCGGCAGACGUUGCACAGGCUCGACGUGCAGACGCUGUGCGAGCCGCCGCUGCCGAGGGAGCAGGA